GACGAACGCUGGCGGCGUGCUUAACACAUGCAAGUCGAACGGAAAGGCCCCUUUGGGUGUACUCGAGUGGCGAACGGGUGAGUAACACGUGAGUAACCUGCCCUUGACUUCGGUAUAACUUCAGGAAACUGGGGCUAAUACCGGAUAGGAAUCCUUGCUGCAUGGUGGGGGUUGGAAAGCUUCGGCGGUUUUGGAUGGACUCGCGGCUUAUCAGCUUGUUGGUGGGGUAGUGGCUUACCAAGGCUUUGACGGGUAGCCGGCCUGAGAGGGCGACCGGCCACAUUGGGACUGAGAUACGGCCCAGACUCCUAGGGGAGGCAGCAGUGGGGAAUAUUGCACAAUGGGCGGAAGCCUGAUGCAGCAACGCCGCGUGCGGGAUGACGGACUUCGGGUUGUAAACCGCUUUCAGCAGGGGCGAAGCUUGUGGUGACGGUACCUGCAGAAGAAGCACCGGCUAACUACGUG
rnacentral:rRNA from 1 species